CCUAGCCCAGCAGCGGCGGUUCGUGGAGUCUGCAGUACUUAUGGUGUCUACGCAGUAGUUAUGGUGUCUACGGUGCUGAUGGUCCUUUGGUGAGCGCUAGGAGCAUCCUUUCUACGGUCCAACUUCCAGCCAGCCUGGAGGCAACCGUAACACUACUAAAGGAGGGUGUUCCACAUUAUUAAGCAGAGCACCAUUUUCAUGCAAUAUGGGG